rnacentral:rRNA from 1 species
CCUACGGGGGGCAGCAGUGAGGAAUAUUGGUCAAUGGCCGAGAGGCUGAACCAGCCAAGUCGCGUGAGGGAAGACGGCCCUACGGGUUGUAAACCUAUUUUGUCGGGGAGCAAAGCGAGUCACGUGUGACUCAUUGAGAGUACGCGAAGAAAAAGCAUCGGCUAACUCCGUGCCAGCAGCCGCGGUAGUACGGAGGAUGCGAGUGUUAUCCGGAUUUAUUGGGUUUAAAUGGGGCGCAGGCGGAGGUGAAAGUCAGCGGU